rnacentral:lncRNA from 1 species
CACCGUUCUGACACACCUUCUUACCAUUCUCCUGACCAGGAGUAGGAAGAAAAACAUGAAUCCUAGGGAGUCAUACCAGUGUAGAGGAAAACUACAUUAUCUCUAGACUGAUUCUCAGCAAUGUAAACAAAUCAUAAAAAUUUAAAAAUAUUUAUUUAUUUAUUUAUUUAUUUUUCUUUUGGUUUUUCGAGACAGGGUUUCUCUGUCUAGCCCUGGCUGUCCUGGAACUCACUCUGUAGACCAGGCUGGCCUUGAACUCAGAAAUCCGCCUGCCUCUGCCUCCCAAGUGCUGGGAUUACAGGCGUGCGCCACCACGCCCGGUAAAAAUAUUUAUUUUUAAAACAGUCUGACUUGAUAGGCCUGGCUAUCCUGGAACUUUCUAUGCAGACCAGGCUGGCUUUGAACUCAUGGAUCAGCCUUUCCCUCCAGAAUGCUUGCAUGGAUUGUCUUCUUUCUUUCUUUAUAAAUUUUUAAAGAAUUUUUUUUUUAAACCCACAUCCUGAACCUUGAAGAAAUCCCCUCUACGUCAGGUCUGCUCUCUCUCUCUCUUUUUUAAAGGUUUAUUUAUUUAUUACAUGUAAGUACACUGUAGUUGUCUUCAGACACACCACAAGAGGGCGUCAGAUCUCCUUACAGAUGGUUGUGAGCCACCAUGUGGUUGCUGGGAUUUGAACUCUGGACCUUUGGAAGAGCAGUCGGGUGCUCUUACCACUGAGCCAUCUCACCAGCCUUCUUUUUAAAUUUUAAUAGCAAAGUAUAGCACAUUCUACCAGAAAACAAAACCCAAGCCCAUAGUAUAAUCUAUUGACCUAAGAUUUGAAGAACUCAUAUUGGGGCUGGGGCUGCCAGGAAUUAUGCCUGGCAUUAAGAUAUAAAGAUGAAAUUAUAUUCAUCUUUGAAGGUUUAUGGCUUAAGGGAGACUCAUUCAGAGAUCUAAAUCGAAUGGUUGUGUGUAUGCUAACCUGAAGGUAAAUUUCAAAAUGUUUCAAAUACAAAAUCUGUGACCUACUUUUUUUCUCUUCCACCCACCACAUCUUCUUUUAUUAAAAGUAACACAAAGGAAAAACAGUUUUGAAACC